rnacentral:tRNA from 1 species
GGCUCCAUAGUGUAGUGGUUAGCACGUCUGCUUUACAUGCAGAAGAUCCUGGGUUUAUGCUCCAGGCGGAGCCA